rnacentral:rRNA from 1 species
AACGAACGCUGGCGGCGUGCCUAACACAUGCAAGUCGAGCGCGAAAGUUCCUUCGGGAGCGAGUAGAGCGGCGGACGGGUGAGUAAUACAUGGGUAAUCUGCCCUCGAGCUUGGGAUAACCCCGCGAAAGUGGAGCUAAUACCUGAUAAGACCACGUGGCUUAAGCUGCGUGGUAAAAGGUGGCCUGUAUUUAUACAUGCUAUCACUUGAGGAUGAGCCCGUGGCCUAUCAGCUUGUUGGUGAGGUAAGAGCUUACCAAGGCUAUGACGGGUAGCUGGUCUGAGAGGACGACCAGCCACACUGGGACUGAGACACGGCCCAGACUCCUACGGGAGGCAG